UACGGAGGGAGCUAGCGUUGUUCGGAAUUACUGGGCGUAAAGCGCACGUAGGCGGCUUUGUAAGUUAGAGGUGAAAGCCCGGAGCUCAACUCCGGAAUUGCCUUUAAGACUGCAUCGCUCGAAUCAUGGAGAGGUGAGUGGAAUUCCGAGUGUAGAGGUGAAAUUCGUAGAUAUUCGGAAGAACACCAGUGGCGAAGGCGACUCACUGGACAUGUAUUGACGCUGAGGUGCGAAAGCGUGGAGAGCAAACAGGAUUAGAAACCUGGU
rnacentral:rRNA from 1 species